rnacentral:rRNA from 1 species
UCUACGGGAGGCAGCAGUGGGGAAUAUUUCGCAAUGGGCGAAAGCCUGACGCAGCGACGCCGCGUGAGGGAUGAAGGUCUUCGGAUCGUAAACCUCUGUCAGCAGGGAAGAACGGUCACUGUGCUAAUCAGCAGUGAAUUGACGGUACCUGCAAAGGAAGAACCGGCUAACUCCGUGCCAGCAGCCGCGGUAAUCCGGGGGGUGCGAGCGUUAAUCUGAAUUACUGGGAGUAAAGCGCUCGUAGGCGGUAUUUCAAGUCAAGGGUGAAAUCACCGCGCUCAACGUGGGCACUGCCUUUGUAGCUGGCAAACUGGAGUGUGUGAGAGGAUAGUGGAAUUCCUGGUGUAGGAGUGAACUCCGUAGAUAUCUGGAGGAACGUCAGUGGCGAAGGCGACUAUCUGGCACAUAACUGACGCUGAGGAGCGAAAGCGUGGGUAGCAAACAGGAUUAGAUACCCGGGUAGUC